rnacentral:rRNA from 1 species
GAUGAACGCUAGCGGCAGGCUUAAUACAUGCAAGUCGAGGGGCAGCGGGGUAGCAAUACCUGCCGGCGACCGGCAAACGGGUGCGGAACACGUACACAACCUUCCUUUGGUGGGAAUAGCCCAGAGAAAUUUGGAUUAAUACCCUAUAGUAUGAUACUGAAGCAUUUUGGUAUCAUUAAAGAUUUAUCGCCGGAAGAUGGUGUNCGUCUGAUUAGGUAGUUGGU